GGGUCUAUGGCUCAGCCAGGUAGAGCGAAGGACUCUUAAAAAACUUGGAGACAUCCUUAUGUCGUGGGUUCGAAUCCCACUAGACCCG
rnacentral:tRNA from 1 species